UCUUCUUAAAGCUUUCAAGUGGUGUAUAAGUCCCUUUAUGCUGCAAUAAAGGAAUACCCAAGACUGGGUAACUUACAAAGAAAAGAGAUUUAUUUGGCUCAUUGUUCUGCUGGCUAUACAUGAAGCAUAAUGCCAGCAUUUGCUCUGGUGAGGGCCUCAAGAAGCUUAUAAUCACGGAAGAAGGAGAUGGAGAGCCAGCACGUCACAUGGAAGCAUGAGAGGAAGCAAGAGAGACUGGGAGGAGGAGGUAAUCCAAUUAUUGCUUAUGCAAAGGGAUGAGAAAUUUCAGGUUUUUCUUGAAUAUUCUCUGGAGAGCUGCAUUUUGGAAUUGUUAUGGAGAAGAACAGCUUCAUCAAUUCUUUGGUGCAGGAAGCAUGGCAUGGCUUCAGGGGAGCUGGGUGACUGAGAUAUCUCUGUGCUAUUUCUCAGAAGGUAAGAUGGGUUCAUCACCUUUAAAUGACCAAGGCUGUACAGUA